rnacentral:rRNA from 1 species
GAUCAACGCUGGCGGCGUGCCUAAUGCAUGCAAGUCGGACGGCUUCGGUUUCGGCCGGGGCACGUGGCGGACGGGUGAGGAACGCGUGGGCAAGCUGCCCUGGGGUGGGGGGUAGCCCUCGGAAACGGGGGGUAAUUCCGCAUGUGCUCCCGGUCUCGUGGGGACCGUGAGGAAAGGCCCUUCGGGUCGCCCUGGGAGGCGCCUGCGGCCGAUUAGCUGGUUGGCGGGGUGGACGGCCCACCAAGGCGGUGANCGGUAGCUGGUCUGAGAGGACGGCCAGCCACACGGGGACUGAGACACGGCCCCGACUCCUACGGGAGGCAGCAGCAAGGAAUUUUCCGCAAUGGGCGCAAGCCUGACGGAGCAACGCCGCGUGGGGGAGGACGCC